rnacentral:lncRNA from 1 species
AGUAGUAGUAGUAGUAGUAGUAGUAGUAGUAGUAGUAGUAGUAGUAGUAGUAGUAGUAGUAGUAGUAGUAGUAGUAGUAGUAGUAGUAGUAGUAGUAGUAGUAGUAGUAGUAGUAGUAGUAGCAGUAGCAGUAGCAGCAGCAGCAGCAGCAGCAGCAGCAGCAGCAGCAGCAGCAGCAGCAGCAGCAGCAGCAGCAGCAGCAGCAGCAGCAGCAGCAGCAGCAGCAGCAGCAGCAGCAGCAGCAGCAGCAGCAGCAGCAGCAGCAGCAGCAGUAGUAGCAGC